rnacentral:rRNA from 1 species
AAUGAACGCUGGCGGCGUGCUUAACACAUGCAAGUCGAACGAGAAAGGGAUUGCUUGCAAUCCUGAGUAGAGUGGCGCACGGGUGAGUAACACGUAGAUAAUCUACCUUCAAGCCUGGGAUAACUAUUCGAAAGGAUAGCUAAUACCGGAUGAAGUGGUUUAACACAAGUUGAAUCAUGAAAGAUUGCCUCUUCUUGAAAGCAAUUGUUUGGAGAUGAGUUUGCGGACCAUUAGUUUGUUGGUGGGGUAAAGGCCUACCAAGACUACGAUGGUUAGCUGGUCUGAGAGGAUGAUCAGCCACACUGGAACUGGUACACGGUCCAGACUCCUACGGGAGGCAGCAGUGAGGAAUUUUGCGCAAUGGGGGCAACCCUGACGCAGCAACGCCGCGUGAGUGAAGAAGGCCUUUGGGUCGUAAAGCUCUGUCGA